rnacentral:lncRNA from 1 species
AAACAAGGCAGUAUCUCGUGUCCUGCAUGCUGGCAUCUCUGUGUCCCAGACUUGGAGCUCUCAGCCAUAUGUGGACAUCGCAGACACCCAGCUGGGCCGCUGAAGAGUUGGGUGUUGAUCUUGGCUGGGCAAGAUGGGUGACUCACGUCUGUAAUCCCAGCACUUUCGAAGGCCAAGGCAGGCAGAUCACUCGAAGUCAGGAGUUUGAGACCAGCCCCGCCAACAUGUCAAAACCCCAUCUCUACUAAAAAUACAAAAAUUAGCCGGGCAUGAUGGCACACGCCUGUAAUCCCAGCUACUCGAGAGGCUGAGGCAGAAGAAUCGCUUGAACCUGGGAGGCAGAGGUUGCAGUGAGCUGAGAUCGUGCCACUGCACUCCAUCCUGGGUGACAGAGUGAGACUCUGUCUCAAAACAAACAGACAAAAAACCCACAGGUGUUGAUCUUUUCUUAUCAUUUUGUUUAUUGUCUGUUCUUGCUUACUAGCUUCUUGAGGGCUGGGGUUGUUGCCUAGCAGUUCUAGGCACUGCUGUAUCUCCAGUGCCUAGAACAGUGCCUGGGAUAUACUAGGUGCUCAGUAAAUAUUUCCUGAAUGAACAAAUAAAUAGAUGAAUGAGGGAUUUGGAGUAGCAGGUGGGAGAAAUCAGGGAAAAAAAAUAGACUUGUGGCAUGG